GGCACAAAAGAGUGCUGCCAUGUUUGAAAUUCACAGUGUGUGCCAUUGUAUUUAAUCUGCUAAUUUACACAACAGUGAUAACCCUGCAGACUUUGUGUUUUGACCAUCAGGAGAAAAAGGUUCUAAUCGAUUAUACAAAAAACAGAUGGCCAAUAGAAAUCCAUUUUGUAUAGUCACUGUCAAUCUUCUUAGAUUAAAAAAUACAAACAAGCUGACAGACG
rnacentral:lncRNA from 1 species